UCUAAAGUACCAGAGGUGUUUCAGAUUUUGCAUUUUAGAAUAUUUACGUAUACUGGUUGAGCAUUUCUAGUCUGAAAAUCUAAAAUUCCAAAUUCUCCAAAAUCUGAAACUUUUCAGCAUUAUGUUGGUACUCAGAAGGCUUUGGAUUUUGUAGCAUUUUGUAUUUUGUAUUUUCAGGUUAGAGAUGCUCACCCUGUAUUUGGGGAGGCUGUUCUAUCCAGGGUGGAUUAGACUUUCUGCCAGUACUAAAUGGUAACUUUGUAGAUUUGAUGCUGAAUUUGUUCUCUCAGCACCUAACUCAGAAUGGAAUGGAAAACAGGGACACAUUUCACCAGCUCUUCUUUCUGAUUUUUUUAAAAGAAGUGUAGAAAAAUCCAAAGUCCUCCUCUGCAUUUGUGGACCAACACCAUUUACAGAACAAGGAAUAAUGUUGCUGCAAGAUCUUAACUUUUCCACAGAUGAGAUCCAUAGUUUUACCGCAUAAUGAAGAGUUGUCAUUGUCUUUUAUUCAAGGAAUUUCUCUAAAUUUGUGGUUAUUUAAGAUUUUUUUAAGAGAACAGUUUUUGUAUGUACUAAAAGGUUGACUAGAAUCCAGGUAUCCGUUUCUUAAAUGAAAUCAAAUGUUCCUUCGUGUAGGUAACUUCUUGGCUUUAUUUUUUACCAUAACUUAUUUUAUUACAGCUAUUUGACCUGGAACGUCAAUCAUGGCAACAAAUGUACACAAGAUUCUUUGUUGUGGAUUACACG